UACAGAGGUCUCAAGCGUUGUUCGGAUUCAUUGGGCGUAAAGGGCGCGUAGGCGGCGGGGUAAGUCGGGUGUGAAAUCUCAGAGCUCAACUCUGAAACUGCACUCGAUACUGCUCUGCUUGAGGACUGGAGAGGAGACUGGAAUUCACGGUGUGGCAGUGAAAUGCGUAGAUAUCGUGAGGAAGACCAGUGGCGAAGGCGGGUCUCUGGACAGCUCCUGACGCUGAGGCGCGAAGGCCAGGGGAGCAAACGGG
rnacentral:rRNA from 1 species